UUGAGCUAGAGAGAAGUUGGAGAGACAGUGAGAGGACAGACACAGUGAGGAAUUCUGAGCUCAUAGCUCAGCCCCUGCUGAUAUUAGAUAAUACACAGCUGCUAUUGGACAGAGGCAAAGAAGAGUGUUUAUCCUGAACCAGAAAGUUACACUCUGCCUUUAGUGAAUAAGUUGGGGGGCUGACAUGCUCUGAUGCAGUAACACUGAUAAUAAAUUUUAAGCCUAUAAAACCUAACUAGACUAGAACGCACGAAGGAGAAAAAUCUCAGAGGACGCCAUCAAAUUCCCACAUUUAAGAUAGAAAGCAGGCCCUACAGCUCGAGUCACCUGGUGCAACACAAGAUACCAACACUUCCAUGGAGGGGCUCACCGCACUGAGUCCCAAAGGUUUGACAGCCAGUCCAAAAGUCCAAAGUCUUUGUUGAGACGCAGGGCAAUCUCUCUAGCUGUUCUGUGUACAUGUUCAUGUUUGUGCAUGAGUGUGCACACAUGUGGAGGUCAAAGGAUGACCACUGUAUACCUUGUUUCUAACAAAGGGUCUCACUGGCCUAGGCCUUGCCAAGUAGACUAGAUUUGGUUAGUUUUGUUUGUCAGUGUGACACACUUGGGAAGAGGGACCUCCAGUUGGCCUGUGGACAUCUGUAUAGGGCAACAGAUUGGCCUGGGGGUAUGUCUGUGGGACAUUUUCUUGAUUGCUAGUUGAUAUAGGAGGGCCCAGCCCAUUCUAGGCAGUGGCAUUUUUUUUUAAAGUUAAUUUGUUUUUAUUACACGUGCACUAGUGUUUCACCUGCAUGUACAUCAGGGUAAAGGUGUCAGAUCUUGCAGUUACAGACAGUUAUGAACCGCCACGUGGGUGCUGGGAAUGGAACCCAGGUCCUCUGGAAGAGCAGUCAGUGCUCUUAACUGCUGAGACAUCUCUCUAGCUCCAGGCAGUAGCAUUUGUACAUACAUGGCCCUGGGCUUUACAGGAAUCUAGCAGAGCAGAGGCUAGGGAGCCGGCACCUUCCUGUGCCACCUUCGUUUGCGGCCCCGCCUGCUAGAUGUAGUUCCUGCUCUGCUUUGGCUCACAGUUCAGGGAGUACAGUCCAUGAUGCCUGGAGAGGACCAGUGGCAAGAGGCUGCUUGCUUACUCCUCAAUACAUCAAUGUGAGGACGAGGGCAUGGAGGCCCCUAGAGCUCAGAUGCCUCUCUCCUUUUUCUGUACUAUUUGGUGGGCCUUCCCUCCUCAGUUAAUCCUUUCCAGAAAUACCCAAAGGUAUGCUCUAAGCACUUGAGGUUGUCCCCUCCAUGUGCAGGCAUGUGCAUACCUAUACACACACACACACAAGUCAGUAAACAAUGUAAAACUAUUCAGUGAGGGUUGAGGAGAUGGCUCAGUGGAUAAAAAGGGCUUGCCAUGCAAACAGGAAGACCAGAGUUCAGAUCCCCAGAACCCAUAUAAAAGAUGGACAGACAUGGAAGUCUGCCUGUAUUCCUAGCACUUGGGAGGCAAAGACAGGACCGCCAAGCUUGGUGAGCCAAAUUAGUGAACUCUAUUCAUGUUUCAGUAGUAAACCUUGCUCUGAGUAAAUAGAGUGGAAAGAAACUGAGGAAGACUUAAAGACACCCUCUGGACUCCACAAGCACACAUGAACCACACACACACACAAAGACAUGCAUAUAUGUACACGCAUACUACACACAUACUGUACACACGACAAGAAAAGUGUGUAAGAAGCUGGGCCACAUCGACCAGCAGAGCUUUUAGGGGAUACUUGUUUCCCCUGCACCUCCAAUGAGGAAUUCCGAAUGGGAAAGCUUGCCCUGAAGCCUUCCCAAGACGUAGGAGGUGGAGCCUACAAGCGAACCCACCAUUCCUUAGAAGUCUGCUCAUUCUGUCGCUACUGUAGGAGGCAUACAGACGCAGGGGGAGCGCCAGAUUCGGUUACUGCCUCACGCUCUUUCUCUGCUUGAGGCUUUGGUUCCUGUUACCCAGAGGCAGUUCAGCACCCAUCUAGUUUCUGGCUCUGUGGAGGAUCCCCGUGAAGGCGGGCUCAGGCGUUGCUCAGGUGGUGCUCUGGUGUGUGUAGUAAGUAUUCACACUAAGGGUUCACUGGGAUUUACGCUGCCGAGCACCUGAGCUCACAGAGGAAAAGGUUUCAAUGCCUUGCAGAUUAAAGUAACUAAAAACAUUCCUCUCCAUUUAACAUAGAAGACAGAAAACCUCAAAGCUCCAACGUCAUCAGCCACAGCAACAACAAAAUGAUCUCUAGUGGCAGGUAACUCUCUCUGUGGUCCUCAAAUGCAAGCAACUAUCAACUGUGGUGAGGGUUUAUUUAGAUGCACACACCUGAUUUCGUCUCUCCUUGGACUCAAUGCCAGCCACCAAGCUACCGAGUCCCCAGGUGUGAGGCAUACAUUUCCAGGGACCAUGACAAUGUUUAGAGCUCCCUGUCUGUGGAAGCUGAAUAUGAUUCACCUCGUAAAUUUGUAUUGUCUGGCAACUACAUUAAAAAGUAAACUAAAGCAAGUCAAGAAUCUAUGAUGGAUUAGCAAGACAGCCGUAGUGAGUAAAGCACUUGCUACACAAGCCUGAACAACCUGAGUUUGGUCCCCAGAACCACAGUGGAAGGAGAGAACAGAGCCCAAACUGAACUCCACAGCUCUGGGCCAGCCCCACAAUAAGGACACUAGACACUUAAAAUGAUUUUUAUACAGCAUGUGGCAGCACAUGGCCUCAAUCACAGCACUUGGGAGGCAGAGGCAGAUGAAUCUCUGUGAGUUUGAAGCCAGCCUGGUCUAUACCGUGAGUUCCAGGACUGUGAGAGGUGAGAUCCUGUUGAAACAAAGAAAGAAACAAAGAAUGAAAAGGAAGGCAGGCAGGCAGGGAAGAGAAGAAAAAAGAAACUGAGUGCGAGAAAGGGGAAAGGGAAGAAGGAAGGAAGAGAGGAAGGAAGGGGAUAGAAGGAGAGGGAUAAAUUGAUGGAUAAGACAGACAGACAGACAAAGACUCUAUGGACUUUAUGGUAGUUAUGCCAGUUUCUGCUGCACAGGCAUGAGGACCUGAGUUCGGAUCCCCAACAUCCACAUAAAAGGGCAGCAACAACCCAGGGAGAACAGAGACUGGUGAAUGCCUGGGGCCCAUUGGCCAGCCAGCCUAGCCAACCGGUGAGCUCCUGGUUUAGUAAGAUCAUCUCAAAAUAUAGGUAGAUAGCAAUCAAAUAAGAUCCCCGAUGGUGACCUCUGGCCUCCACACACACAUGCAUGUACCCCCCCCACAAAUGAACACACACACACAAAGGAAUUUAUUUUUAAGUGAAUCUAUCAAGAUAUUAUCUCUAUGUGAUCAAUCUAAAAUGCCCAUAGUCAUUUAAUGAAGAGAUAGCCUGAGAAAUUGCAUCGUUAGGCAAUCCUUUUGUGGUAUAAACAUCACUGAGUGUGUGCCCACAAAUCACUGUAUAAUAAGCUGUAUGGUAAAUAUAGAGUAUCUGGAUAAUAUAUGUAUGUGUGUAUGUAUGUAGAUAUUCUUUCUGGGGCCAUGAUGAACAUAGAACACAAGAUUAAAUCAAGACAAAAGAAAGGACAGCCUCAGGACACGAAGGCAACAGCACCUGUGAACAAGACCACCACAGCUCCAUGGCCAUUUCACAGCACAUUUCUUUCUUUGUAAGCAGAACAUGAACAAAAAGGCGACUAGGCUUUCCAAGAGACACAGGAGGUGAGUAGGCUGGCCAUAUGCUUCAUACGUACACCAGGCGAGGCUAGGCGUUGGGAGGUGAGAGAAAAGCAGUGGGCAGAGGUGAGUAGAGACCAGCUCUGGAGUCCAGUCCUUGGCCUAGCCUCUCUGAGAUGCAUUCUUGAACCCUGGUGCCACAGAGAUGUGGGGAUCUUGGGCUCUGUCAUCCUUGGACUUAGCCAACUCUACUUAAAAACGGGGGGGGGGGAGCCUCAGUACAUAAAAUGUAGAUUAUUCUCCUUACCUGAUUCCUCAAAGCACUGUGUAACAGCUAUUUACAUAGAAUUAGAUAUUACAAGUAAUCCAGAGAUGCUGGAGUGUAAGGCACAUGGAAGGACUUGUAGGUUCUAUAAAACACACACUGUCUCUGAUAGGGCCCCCGAGUACCCACAGACUUUGGCAUCCAUGGUAAUCCUGGAAGACAAUGCCUGUGGACAGUGAGGUACAACUUGAAUUUCUUUUCUGCUCAUAUAAACUCAAACCAACGCUUUGUUGAUUAUAACUGACUAAGCCCUGACUCACAGGUCUGGCUCCUUAUUGCGGCUGGAGUGAUGUGGCCUGUACCACAAGGAGGGUUCACAGCGGCAUCCUUGCCCACUCUCUCUGCAUUUCAUCCCCUACCUUGUUCUUCCAGCGUCUGCAGCUCAGCCAGCAUCAGUUCUAUUUUGGGUGGAUUGGAUUCAGUUCCCUAUUUGUGAACAGUUCAGACAUCCACAUCCAUUUGCUCUCAGACAAACAUCACCUAUGUAAGCCCAGGUGGUGCUGUAGAAAUAUGGGCAAGAAAUUCUAUUGUCCUGUGUGCUUAUAAGUUUUCCCUAAGGAAGGAAGUCUGCUUGCUUCUCUGAUUAUCACCUUUCCCCCUCUUUUCUCCUGCCCUCUGGAGUUUUCACCCCUCCCCCCCAGCUGGAAAAGGUAGGGCUGGCAAGGUGCAGGCUCAGUUCACCUCUUCCUAAGACCCUGCUAUUCUACGGUCAGGCCAAUGACCAUGAAGAAUAGUACCACACAAGUACACUCCCUAUGGAAGACCUUUCUGAAGCAACGGCCAUUGCUUUGGAAAUGACCAGCACCACACUAUCCUCAGAACCACUCCUGUACAUUUCUUAAACACUGUCCUGACAUCCAACCUCUCUGCCUAGUCCACCUCACAUCUCACACCUGGACCUAGCCAGGAAAUGGAUGGAACUAGCUAUCUCGAGUGAGGUAAUCCAGACACGAAAAGGCAAAUGUUGUAUGUCCUCUCUUAUCUGAGGUUCUGAGCUCCAGAUCUUCAGGUGUAUAAUGUAAAAGAACUGCAGAAACCAAGAAAGGUACAUGGUAGGGAGGCAGACGUGCUCGAGAGGGAACAGCAGGAUACAGUGAUACAAAGAAGAAAGGGGUGGGGGAUUUUAAUUGAGGAGAAGAGCAGAAGGUCAAUAUAGAAGAAGGAGAUAGGAAGGAAAAUAACACUAAGGGUAUUGUGGUAGUUUGACUAUGCUUGGCCAUGGAAAGUGACACUAUUAGGAGGUGUGGCCUUUUGGGAGUAGGCGUGGACUUGUUGGAGGAAGUAUGUCAUGGUAUGGGCGGGCUUUGAGGUCUAGUGCUCAAGUUCCACCCAGUGUAGAAGAGAGCCUUCUAGCUGCCUGUGGACUGCAGUCUUCUAAAGCUGCUUUCAGAUCAACAUGUAGAACUCCUGGCUCCUCCUGCACCAAGUCUGCCUGCAUACUGCCGUGCUUCCCACCUCAAUGAUAAUGGCCUGAACCUCUGAAACUGUAAGCCGGCCUCAAUUAAAUGUUUGCUUUUAUGAGUUGCCUUGGUCAUGGUCUCUUCACAGCAAUGAAACACUAAGACGUUAUAUGUUACUCUUAUAAUGCUGUAACAAAUAUUGUGAUCAAGGUAACUUACAAAGAAAUGUUCAAUUAUGGUGGCAGGAAAUGCUGAGAGCUCAAGUCUAGAUCCAUAAGCAGGAGGCAGAGAAGAUCACUGGGGUUGGCAGGAGGCUUUUGAGGUCUAAAGCUAGGGAAAGGGUGCAAAUACACUUCCUCUAAAGAGGCCACACUUCUUAAUCUUCCCCAAAUAUUUCCACAACCUGGACAAGUAUUCAAACAUAUGGCCUAAGGAGGUCAUUCUCAUUCAAACUACCACAGGAUGUUUGAAUAAGCCACAAGGAAUUAUUUUUUAUCUACUAAAAAUUAUAUAUCAUACACAGAAGCACAUGUGUGUGUAUGUGCGAUAAAUAAUAUAUAUCGUUUAAAUGAAGUUAUUAUUUAGGCUGAUAAUAUUUGCCCAAGAGACAUAGACUAAUUAAAAAAAAAAAAAAACAACUCAGUACCAGGCAUGAGAAACCCCCUUUUUGAUUUGUUAAUCAGGAAAGUCCAAGCCCUUGCCCUUGGUUGACUCCCAGGUUUGAGAUAGGUCCCUAUUUCUGAAAAUACCAUGCACUUCAGACAGGACUCAGAGGAUCCAAGCUGUCUUGAAACUGACUGGAAAGCAUCCUCCAGAGACUAGCUUCAUAGCACAAGAAGGUGUUGUGAAAUCUGCCCAGGGAGGGAAACACAGCAAUGAUGUCCCCUAGGAGUACAGUAGUGGCCCAGAGUCUUGCCGUAGCCAACAGCUGUCUAAGUGAACUUUAAGGCCUGCUCAACAGGAGGGGAAUCAUGCCUGUUACAGCGAACCUAGCCACCUACGCAGGGUGAGGGAUGUCAUGGAUCUUAGAGGAGAGCCUACUCCCACACCACAUUAAACUAUCAUAAUUGUAUUGUGAGUAUACCCUUUGUGGUGGUUUGAAUAGGAGCGGCCCCUGCAGAUUCUUGUGUUUGAAUGCGUGGCCUCAGGUGUGGUCUUGUUGGAGGAAGUGUGUCACUGUGGAGGUGGGAGUUGAGGACUUAUGUGCUCAGGCUAUGCCCCAGUGUGGAACACAGCCUUCCCCAUGCUGCCUGUGGAUCAAGAUGUAGAACUCUCAGUUCCUUCUCCAGCACUGUGUCUUCUACGAUGAUAAUGGACUAAACCUCUGAAACCAUAAGCCAGAUCCAAUUAAAUGUUUACUAAGAGUUACUGUGGCCAUGGUCUCACAGCAGUAAAACCAAUAAAAUCCUAAGACAUCCUUAUACGCAUAGAUAAUUACAGCUCUCACUCCUUGUGAAGGAAACUUCUCUUUGCAAUAGACAGAGACCAUUACAGAAAACCACAACCAGUCAAGCUGCCGAGAACAACUGGUUGUGGGCACUGUACAAGCCAGAAGAUCAAGAAAUCUGCAGUGAGAUUAUGUCUCCUAGGAAUGAAAAGGAAGAUUCACCCACGCACAAUACUUCAACUUUCAUGGCUCCCUAAACAAAACCUGAACUAGUACACCAUCAAUAGACAUGCCAAAAUGGAAGGGGGGCUCUCAAGGGGUUCCCCCAACCCCAGGAAAAGAACUCCCGGUAAGUAAGGAAUGCUGGUCAGCCCUGAAAACACAUACAAGUAAAACAAAAUGGACUGAGCAGAUAGUAUUUGUGUGUGUGUGUGUGUGUGUGUGUGUGUGUGUGUGUGUGUGUAACAAUAACAAUUAAACAAAAGGAGGCCAUGAAUUUGAGAGGGAGUCAAGGUGGGGGAAUGAAAGGUCUUGAGGGAGAAAAGAAAGAAAG